UACGUAGGGUGCAAGCGUUGUCCGGGAAUUAUUGGGGCGUAAAGAGCUCGUAGGCGGUCUGUCGCGUCGGCUGUGAAAUCCCGAGGCUCAACCUCGGGUCUGCAGUCGAUACGGGCAAACUAGAGUAUUGCAGGGGAGACUGGAAUUCCUGGUGUAGCGGUGAAAUGCGCAGAUAUCAGGAAGAACACCUAUGGCGAAGGCAGCUCUCUGGGACGGUACUGACGCUGAGACGCGAAAGCGUGGGGAGCGAACAGG
rnacentral:rRNA from 1 species